GCUUGCAUUGGGCAAGUUUAUGCAGUUACCCACUGCGUAUUGACCUAGAACGUCACUUAAGGAGAAAACAAAUG
ncrna:unclassified sequences freshwater-2 RNA